rnacentral:misc_RNA from 1 species
ACUCGUCAAUGAAAUCUUACAGGCGCUGGAAACAAAACAAUAUUGCACGGCAUUCUUUAUGGACAUUGAAAAAGCAUUCGACAAAGUUAACCAUGAAAAACUUCUAUAAACAAUCAAAAAGCAAUUUCCAGAACAAAUCUACAAACUACGCAAAUCUUACUUAAACAAUAGAACCUUUGUAGUAAAAAUAAAUGAUGCAUAUUCUGAAAUUAAGGAUAUCAAGGUAGGAGUACCGCAAGGAAGCGUCCUAGGACCAAUACUAUACACACUAUAUAUGGCAGGCAUACCAACAACUGUCAACAGCAAAAUACUAACGUUCGCGGACGAUACGGCCAUACGAGUGAGGCACAGAAAUCCAGAAACGGCUGCCACACUACUACAAAAACACAUUACAAAAAUAAAAAAGUGGCUGCAAAACAAACAAAUAAAAGUGAACAUCAGUAAACACACACCUUACAUGGAAGCACCAUAUAAAAUCAAUAAUAAACAGAAUACAUGGAAAAAGGAAGCAAAUGUACUGGUCAA